rnacentral:rRNA from 1 species
AUGUGGCAACCUUCUAUUCUCCUCCUUUGCUUCAUUCUUCAAGGUGCUGUUGCUGCUGAUAGAAGCGAAGUUUGGGGCUACGUUGAAAUUCGUCACAAGGCGCACCUAUUUUGGUGGUAUUACAAGAGCCCACAUCGGGCGUCUUCGCCAAUAAAGGCAUGGCCAACCAUCCUCUGGUUGGAGGGCGGUCCGGGAGGGUCAGGCGUCGGGGGUGGCAACUUCCAGGGGAUCGGGCCGCUGGAUGUCAAUCUGAAGCCACGCAACUCGACGUGGCUGCAGAAGGCUGAUCUCAUCUUCGUGGACUUACCAGUGGGUGUCGGGUAUAGCUACGUGGAGGACCCAAGCGUGCUAGCUACAACGGACGUGCAAGUCGCUGCUGAUGCCACCGAGCUCCUCAAGGCACUUACCAAGGAGAUACCCACCUUGCACAGCAGCCCGUUGUUCCUUGUCGGCGAGUCCUAUGGUGGCAAGCUUGCAGCCAAGAUUGGAAUCUCCGUAGCAAGGGCCAUCCACGCCGGCGCCCUCAAGCUCACACUAGGGGGUGUGGUGCUUGGGGAUAGCUGGAUCUCACCAGAUGAUUUUGCGCUGUCAUAUGCGCAACUGUUGCGUGAUGUGUCAAGGCUGAGCGACGAAGCUGUUGCCCCUCUCAACAGAAUGGCGGCAAUAGUAAAAGAGCAGAUAGCAGCCAGACAAUUCACCACGGCGAAGAUGACGUGGACGAAUCUUGUUGAUUUGAUUGACCAGCAGAGUGAUGGCGUGGAUAUGCUAAAUUUCUUGCUUGACAAAGGCGAAGGCUCAUCGACGAGCCAGGUGUUUCCGUCGACCCCCAACACCAUUGACGGUCUCAUGAAUGGGGUCAUUAAAGAAAAGUUGAAGGUUAUUCCUAAGAACAUAAUUUGGCAAGGAGUGGCUAUUCAAGUUUUCGAAGCAAUGAAUGCCACCUACAUGAAGCCAGCAAUCGAUGAGGUUGAUCAAUUGCUAGCAUAUGGAGUAAAUGUAUCGGUUUAUAAUGGGCAAUUCGAUGUGAUAUGCUCGACAAUCGGUGUAGAAGCUUGGGUCAAAAAACUCAACAUACAUACCAUGGGCUUCAAGGCAGAGUUACAGGGGCACGACAAGCUGCGCAGAGAGAUAGUCGAGCCAAGACAUAGCGGACACCUUGUUGAGCGGGUCCUUAAAUCUUACAGUCCGAAGUUCAAAAUCUUCACAAAUAUUAGAAAUAGUAGUCGCGGCAGUGUGAUCCUCAUGGAGAACCACAACAGCAUUCCGGGAGUCCCAAAUCUAACAAAGGAUGGACAAGAGAACCCCAGGCCACACAUCGCCGUCAGGAGUCACAGGGGUAGCCAUGGACCAAAGAUCUUGGAAGCUUGGAGGGGUAAAUGCCGAGAGUGUUCCGAACCAGGGUGGCCUUCGGGCAGUGGAGGAACAAAUGGUUUGUGGCUUCAGAUACACAGGAGCACAAACCAUUUCCAGCUGGAAACCCAAGGAAGGGGGGUGGGGGAGGCUAAACAUUGCAAAACAAAUUUCAUAAGCAAGUCUCCUCCACGGUCCAGAAGAAAGCACGUCGGAUUGCGUCGAGCGCCUCAAAACUUUUUUGGGGAGUUGGAAAACUGA